GAGGGUCACCCUGUAGGCUGUAGAUAAAAGAGUUACUAAGUGUUGUUGUGAAACGAAUAUAAGUAACAAAUUGCUCACUACUCAAAUAUUAGAUUUCAUCAACAUUUUCCACUGGCGUUCAUUUGACAAUGCAAGAUGAAGCAAGAACCUGCCAGGAGAAAGUGGAAGUGGAAGUGGAAGUGGAAGUGGAAGUGGAAGUGAAAGUGGAAGUGGAAGUGAA